rfam:Ictidomys tridecemlineatus contig009329, whole genome shotgun sequence.
GGGGUUGUGGCUCAGCGGUAGAGCACUCGCUUCGCACGCGCCAGACCCUGGGUUCGAUCCUCAGCACCA